GUGUUCUACAAAUGGUUUUGGUUUGUUAAAGACAUUGAUUUAUUGUUGACAAUUUUGGCACAAUAAAUGCUUAGAUAAUCUCUACAUUCCAACAACUUAUUUUGACAUAUUCUCUCAAACAAUUAUCAAGAUCUAUCUUUUAAUAUAUUUGUGAUUAAUGUUUUAUCUUCCAUAUGAGAUGACUCCUUAGUCGAUUUUCAUAUGAGUUAAAUUAAAGAUCAAGGGCAAUUUCUACUCAUUUAUCCGAAGUGAAUCCCCGACGCUCUAGUAUUCGUCUCAAUCGUAUUUUCACCAAUCGUUCACUACUCAUAGACUAGUUCAUUUCCUUCCAAUACCCUAUGGUUCGACCUCGGACUUCCGAGAUUUACUACUUGCGACAACCUGCACUUGGAAUUGAGCUAAUGAAAAGAGGUUUUUCAUUUUAUGAUAACUUCGGGUUUCUUCAUUUUCGGCGAAUUGCAUGUCUAAUUCGAUUGGAAUCGAGCCAGAGAAAAGUUGUUUUUCAUUUCAUGAUAACUUCAAGUUUGUUCAUUUUUGGCGAAUUGCAAGUCUAAUUCAUCGGAAUAGAACCAAAGAAAAUUGGUUUUCCAUUCCAUGAUAACUUCGGAUUUGUUCAUUUUUGGCGAAUUACUAGUCUAACUCGAUCGGAAUCGAACCAAUGAAAAGUGGCUUUUAAUUUCAUGAUAACUUCGGGUUUGUUCGUUUUUGGAGUAUUGCUAGUCUAAUUCGAUUGGAAUCGAG
rnacentral:lncRNA from 1 species